rnacentral:rRNA from 1 species
CUACGGGUGGCAGCAGUGGGGAAUAUUGGACAAUGGGCGAAAGCCUGAUCCAGCCAUGCCGCGUGUGUGAAGAAGGCCUUCGGGUUGUAAAGCACUUUCAGUGGGGAAGAAAGCCUUGGGGCUAAUACCCUCGAGGAAGGACAUCACCCACAGAAGAAGCACCGGCUAACUCCGUGCCAGCAGCCGCGGUAAUACGGAGGGUGCGAGCGUUAAUCGGAAUUACUGGGCGUAAAGCGCGCGUAGGCGGUCUGAUAAGCCGGUUGUGAAAGCCCCGGGCUCAACCUGGGAACGGCAUCCGGAACUGUCAGGCUAGAGUGCAGGAGAGGAAGGUAGAAUUCCCGGUGUAGCGGUGAAAUGCGUAGAGAUCGGGAGGAAUACCAGUGGCGAAGGCGGCCUUCUGGACUGACACUGACGCUGAGGUGCGAAAGCGUGGGUAGCAAACAGGAUUAGAUACCCGAGUAGC